rnacentral:rRNA from 1 species
GACAGAGGGUGCAAACGUUGUUCGGAAUUACUGGGCGUAAAGCGCGUGUAGGCGGCCCUGUAAGUCGGGUGUGAAAUCCCACGGCUCAACCGUGGAAGUGCAUUCGAAACUACAGGGCUAGAGUUCUGGAGAGGAAGGUGGAAUGCUUGGUGUAGAGGUGAAAUUCGUAGAUAUCAAGCGGAACACCGGUGGCGAAGGCGGCCUUCUGGACAGUAACUGACGCUGAGACGCGAAAGCGUGGGAGCA